UACGGAGGGGACUAGCGUUGUUCGGAAUUACUGGGCGUAAAGCGCACGUAGGCGGAUUUGUAAGUCGGGGGUGAAAUCCUGGAGCUCAACUCCAGAACUGCCUUCGAUACUGGAAAGCUCGAGUCCGGGAGAGGUGAGUGGAACUGCGAGUGUAGAGGUGAAAUUCGUAGAUAUUCGCAAGAACACCAGUGGCGAAGGCGGCCAACUGGUCCGAUACUGACGCUGAGGCGCGAAAGCGUGGGGAGCAAACAGG
rnacentral:rRNA from 1 species